CAGCCUCUCUGCGCACGGCCCGCUGCAGCCGUCUUUAAUCUGGAGUACAGUCUUCUGCUUCUGCCUGGAGGCUGAGGUGUCAGUGUGGCCAUUUUGCACCAGGAACUGUGGUCUGACCUGCUGAGUGAGGCUUCUGCCUAUGACCCCCUGUGAACAAGUAACACCAGACUGAGCACAAAGGAAGAAAACAAAGUACAUCUGGUUCACAAAUUGGAAGAAAAACAGGAAAAGGGACUCUCAGCCUCACAAAGAAUGCUUCAUUAUGCCAGAACCUCUUGUGUUUGUCCUGUCCAGGAGAAAACAUUUGACAAGGUUUGGAAAUGCCUGCUACAUUUUUGGCUCUCUGACACUUACUCAGAAGAUGGCGUUACUCAGCUUUCUUUUUCUUAACAUUUCAACGAUAAUGAUAUGGUGAGGAGGAAAAUGCAACACACUCUGGGAGCUUAAACAACUGUGAGAACAUUCCAGUCACAGGUUGAGAUUUGUUCAUACAGAACCCGAGGUGUGAGUUUGUCACAGCGUUGCAGCUCUCUGAUGCUCAGGAAUCAUCUUUUGUUUUGAAAACAGUCACACACGCUCCCUCUCCAGAGGCUUUCAGGGCAGGGCUCUUGUCUUCCCAUUGUUUCUGGGACUCUCUCGGACAUAAGGAGCAUUCCAGCAACUCGAAGCCAGGGCUCAAGGGCACCCAGGCAUGGUUUAGAACCCAGCCAAACGAGGCACUGAUACUAUACGGCACCUCCUUUCUACGUUUUAGAGAUCUUUUUCUUUUUUUUUUAAUCUCCUCAAAUCCGGGUCAUUUUUUGUUUUAUUUUUGUCUAUCUGUGUCAGCUUUCAAUUUUUUUUUUUUUUUAACCUAGCUGUGGUGGGCAAAUCUAGUCCCUGGAGUACACCCACCAGCAUCGCUGAGGCAUCUCCCAGUUCCCUCAGGAGCUGACCUGCCUGGAGGAAGUGAAAGGCAGUGGUGCUCCAAGCUCCCUGGCUCAGAGUGGAAUGCCCGCCCUCAGCCUCUGCGGAUCUCAGCCCAGGGCCCCUUCGAGGACUGCUCAGGUGCAGGCUCCUCCUGGGAGCCAUGUUGGGUCACCACAGCAGAGGCAAACCUGCCCUCCUUCGAAGAGUCGCUGUUUUCUGGUGCCUUCCUAAUGGCGCACCACUUUGAGCAAAUCGUGACUCCUGACCUUUGUGCCAUCUUCUGAUCUCUUUGGGUAGGUAACACUAAGUUAUUCGAAGGCAGGCACUCAAUGGGAUUCAAGCUUGAGCUUCUCACCGUGCCUCAGUAGCACAAAAACAGGUAUUGAAUGAAUAAGGGAAAGGAGAGAAUCAGACAGAAUGAAGUUUCAGAGGGAAAAGCCUAUAUGCAAUACGCAGGUAUCACAGAG
ensembl:lncRNA